GGAAAGGGAAGAUGAGAGAGAAGAAACAAUGGGAAAACAGAGGAGUGAAACUCCUCCUUCCCCCAAAUCUGCUUUGUUGGUCUGUUGUUGUUUUUUAAAUUGUUAUUUAAUACGCCAUUAGAUUUAAGAUUUCCAUUUGCAGAUGGAAAAAAGUGUGACCGGCUCCAAAUAUAAGAACAAUGCUUGCGGGCAGGCCUAGAGAGAACAAUAAAUCAGAGCAGAAAAUAGUUCGCGCAGGGAACACACAGUUAUUAGAACAUAAAUAAUCUUGUUUUCUCCUAUAUCCAGCACAAAACAAACACAGCUGUGUGUGCACAGGCGCACGCACACGCACGUGCUCUCACACACACAUGCACAUGUCUCAGCCCAGGCUCCCCAGGGCGGUUCUCUGAUGGCACUGAUGGGAGGCGAAGGCUGCACAGAGGUGUCUGCCACACCACCUCCGUGGAGAGGGGCAGCAGAGCAGAAUGCACAGGGAGCACUCAGAGAUGAAGCAAGCUCCUGGCUGCCGGCCAGCGGGAAGCUCUGGUCCCCACAGUAAAAUGCGACUUCUUUCUUAGCGACCGCCACAGUUCCCAAAUGCUCUCAAAUUCUCUGUGGUAGGAUUACAAAGUGGAUGGUGGCCUUAAGUUGGGGCUGUGCUUGGGGCCAGGUGGCCUGGGCAUGUAUCCACUCCAAGUGCUACUCCAGAGCAUCCGACCACUGCGGGAAUCAGACAGAAGUUGCCUAUGUAAGUCAGAUACUCUGAUGGGGUGAAUCAGGGAAGCUUGCUUGCCUCAGUGUCUUCAGGGAUGCUUCCAAAAUCCAGCAAAUGUAGAGGCAGAGUGAGCCAUGCAAGUGGGAGCAAUGAAGGGACAACUGAUUUCCAAGAUGAAGAUAAUUCACAGAACCAUAGGAUCAUUACAGUUGGAAAAGACCACUUAAGACUACCCAGUCCAACCAGCAGCCCAUCACACCACUGCCCAUGGCCCUCAGUGCCACAUCCACACGGCUCUUGGACACCUCCAGGAACGGUGACUCCACCACCUCCCUGGGCAGCCUGUGCCACUGCCUCACUGCUUUUCCUGAGAAGAAAUGGUUCCUAAUAUCCAACCUGAACCUCCCUGGAGCAACUUGAGGCCAUUCCCUCUCAUCCUGAAAUUCAUUUCAGAGUGAGUCUGAGGCAUCCAGAUGAAUCCUGGGUAGGACGAAGCUCUUUUGCAGGGAGAGAAGCAAACCCACAUACCUUUCAGCAGACCUUGCUGGGAUCUGGGUGGCCAUUUCCUCCGUCUCAGUGAAAUUUUUCAUGACAUGGAUAAUUCAGCGUAAUCACGUCAAUUUAACCCAGUUUAAUCAACGCUUUUCUGAAAUUGACUUAUUAUGUGCUUAAGAGUAACCAACAAGCAAAGAGGAUGUUUCCUAAAUGAUCCUGAAAAAUCUCUCCACAUUUCCUAAUGCACUGAAUUUUUUUUCUCUUAGUUCCCUCACAGUAGAGCUGGUAACCCUCUGUGCCUGGAGCACUGUGUACUGAGAUAUUGAUCCAGAUAUCAUGGGCAAUUAUUCUCUGGCUUUCAAGAUAUGUUUUUGGCCUGUUAUUUGGCACCUGACAACCUAUAAUAGAAUGAACUUUUGCUUAGAAUUAACAUUUGAUCUGGGGUUGUCAAGAUACAGCCACUUCUUCCCCCAUCUCCGUGGUCACAUUAUGAAUAUUUCCUUGUUCUUCUGGGAGUGGCAAUAGUUCUAACUGUCACACUGUAGUGACACCUGCAUGUCACUACAAUACCUACAUGGUAUGUGAGCUUGGCUUCCUUCACGUAUCUAUGUGGUGCAAUGCACAAAGGGGAGCAUACACUAAGAUUUUCCUCUUCAUACUUCUUGACUUGGAAUGGAGAAAAAACACUGGGAACAUUAUGUGUUUUACACCUAAUCAGACCAAAAGUGUUGCUUUUAUCCCUUCCCUGUGACGUGUCGCCACCUUUUUUCUUUGGUUUGUAGAUUUUAUAUUUGUCAUAUUUUGGCUGGGAUAGAGUUAAUUUUCUUUGCAGAGGCUUGUAUGAUGCCGUGUUUUGGAUCUGCAAUGAAAAUAGAGAGAGGUUGUGGAUGCCCCAUCCCUGGAGGCAUUCAAGGCCAGGCUGGAUGUGGCUCUGGGCAGCCUGGUCUGGUGGUUGGUGACCCUGCACAUAGCAGGGGGGUUGAAACUCAAUGAUCUUUGAGGUCCUUUUCAACCCAAGGCCAUUCCACAAUUCUAUGAGUAGCAGUGAUAACACACCGACAUUUCAGUUGUUGCUGAGCUGUGCUACACACAGCCAAGGACAUCUCCACUUCUUACACUGCUCUGCAAUGAGGAGCUGGGGAGACACAAGGAGUCAGGAGGACACACAGCCAGGACAGCCAACCCAGAUUAGCCAAAGGGAUGUCCCAUACCAUAUGUCAUCAUGGUUAGCAACAAAACAGCAGGGGAAAGAAGGAGGAUGGCUGGAACAUUCAAAGUAAUGGAAUUUAUCUUCCCAAGAAACUGUUACAGGUGAUCAGCCCUGCUUUCCUGAUGUGGCUGAACACCCGCCUGCCAAUGGGAAACUGUAAAUGAAUUCCUUGUUUUGCUUACCUUUCCAAUUCUCUCCCCAAUCCUACGUGGGGAGAGUGAGUGAGCAGCUGUGUGGUGCUGAGCUGCCCAACAGAGUUAAACCACAACAAUGUUCCAUUUCAUUAUUGGUUUUAUUUUUAUUUUUUAAUUUUCAUUAUUUGUUUAGUUAGGUUUCAAACCUCAAUCUCUGAAAUGUGCAGCGCGCUGAAUGUCUUCACUGCUUGGAAAAAUCUUACAACCCAUGUUUGGGACCCAAGAGUAAUUUCAAUUGCCUGAUUUAUCUCAUCAUAUCUCACAAUCAAUUAUAUCACACUCUCCCUUCAACAUCAAGCUCGCUUGAUCUUCUUCUGAGAUGACCAGCAUCUUAGCAUUGUCCAUGGGUAGAGUGCUUUGCUUAGCUCAAACUUGUUGUGAACAUCAGAGGUGAGUAGGAUUUGGUGUUUGCACAGAUAUUGUACAAGAGGGUGACUUCCUCUUGUGACCCAAACAGAAGUGUGUAUCCAAGAGCUGGCAGUCUUCCUAUCUGCUACAGUUCCUGACUAUUAGCACUGGAAACUUAUUCAUGGCAAUGUGGCUGUUUAAGACAGGGUCUCGAAUAGCAGAUGCUUCUCUUACCACCACAACACCCCCAAACCAGUGAGACUGAAGAUGAGGACAGCUGGAGGACUCUUGCCACCCAUGCAUUUCUGCUGCAGGAAUGGCUGCCAAGGAAAGGGAGGCAGUGGAGGUGGAUGGCUGGGCUCUGGUAGGUGUCGAUCCUGGAAAAUGCCUAUUUAUAAAUAACUGAACAAGGCAUUAUAUCCCCAAAUGCAUUGUUGGCAGAGAUGCAGGUUGCUUGUGGUGCCUGACUGCCGUCUAGAAUGCAAGGACAGUCUGCAUUUAAUCCUUUUGAAAUUUCACAAAUAAGAAUUCUUUCAGCAUGAACUGAAACCUUCGACCACCACAAAACACAUGGUAAGGUUACACGUCCUCACUUCCUCCCUAUUGCCACAGUAUGGCCUUCAUACUUGAGUGACUGAAUCAUCAGAUUGCCAGUGCUAACACCCAGCCUCUAGCGCUGUUACUACGCAGUAGGGAAACAGAACACAUGUCGGACAAAACCUGACAAAGCAAAACUUGGAUUUAGGUCAAGCAGAGCAAACAGGAGUUACUUGUACGCUACACCUGGCUCCCAUUCAAACACAAAGCCUGAUGAAUUCACACUAGCCCAGACAUGCAGAAUGGUAUCUCCCUUUUUUCUUUCUGUAGAGAUUUCUUUCAAGAUAGUACGUUCAGCUCCUUGUUUCGGUGCCCCCACGACAUCCAUUUUUGCAGGCUGCCUGGCUGCCACUCACCCUAUGGCAAGCAGACAACUUGCAUGCUCCACUUAUUAACACAAACUGCAGAAUUCACGGCUGACAUGGGGCAUGCCUGAACCAUCGAGAUAUGCAUGUGCCUCUUACUGCAGCCUCAGCUCUGCCAGCUUGCGUUACUCACUCAUUUACCACUCAGUACUGCUAUAGCUACUAUCACAGAGCAAGCAGCAGGGUGCUCAAACUCAAACUCCACGUUGUAAACUAUUCAGACUCAGAUUGUCUAGCUUGGCCUCCUCCAUAACUGACCAAGAAACCCUGUGCUCAACAUAUUAACUUCUGUUGGGCAAUCAAGGCUCCGCAGGGCAUGCAGCCUUCGUGUGAUAAUGCCUAAGGUGGUGAAUACCUCUCAUCUUGGUGGUCUUUGAGAUUUUGUCUCCCACCCCACUCUUCCUUGAUCCCUUCCCAAUUCCCUCUGGCUGCUAUUGCUUCUGGGAUAGCAGACUUUAAUUUGAGUUCCAGAGUUGGCAAAGGCUUCCAACUGCAUUUAAGCCUGGUUUUGUAGAGGCUUCGGUGAGUAAUACCUUAAUUCCUCUUUCACUGGUUGCUGGAGUUUUGAAUGUUGUCCUUUCCUGCCCUCUGGGCCACCUCAGGGCUCCUCAUUGUAACUCCUUCUGCAGUAAAGAAGACAUAUAGUAGUAAUCUUUUGAUUCCUGUAAGUAUUAUUAUUCCAUAACAAAUGCAUAAUGGGGAUUAUUUUUUUUAUUAGUUAUACGUUGAAAAUAGAAAAGUACAGAUAUCACAAACAUAUAAAACACGCUGAAGUUAGCCACAGACUAUUUCUCAGCUUUGCCAAUUCCUGACGGAAAAGUGAUUAAAUCAGACUGCAAGUUCAGCAACCUCGCCUAAAAGUUUAAGAUUGAUUUGGUGGUUGGAGAGGACAAGGAUACGCAGGCUUUUAUGGGAGCACUUGGGAUUAGGAUGCAUCCCGAGUGUUUUGUCAGCCUGUAUGAGAAACCAAUUUAGUACAGUUCUAUGUGUUCUUCAGCUCCUCAACGUUUAACAUGUACACGCCUCAAUCUUGAAACAAUUUUCAAUGUUUCUAUUAAAAACAUAUGUGACCUAGGCAGUCAGCUGCAGUAUGAUUUCCCUGGGACGUAUCAUAAGCGCUGGGGUUACUGAAAUGCUCUCAGGCUGUUCUAAGGAAAGCCCACAGUUCCUCUCUACAGCACGUCCACCCUCUGCUUCUGCACCUGCAGGUGGGUCUGGAAGGCCAACAUUGUACAGUGCAGUUAACACUUAUCCUUCCAAUUUCUCUCCACUCUGUACUUUAAAACAGUUAACUAACAUGAGUUUUCUUCACACCAUCAAUUCUACAUUGGCUUUCAUGUGCUUGGGUACCCCAUCCAUCACCGGUAGAAUAACUGUAUUUUCAGAAUACAUCUCAAAGCCUGGAGCAGGGCAGUGAGUUUGGACACAAUGGUUCCUCUGUGCUGUAAUUGUUGCUUUAGAUGCAUUCAUCACUUUCCUUUUCUACUUUACUCAUCUACUUGUACACAAAUUAGGAGUCCUGGUGGAUAUUAGACACAAGGAAAAACUUUUUCUCUCAGAGAGUGGUCAGGCACUGCAAUGGCCUGCUCAGGGAGGUGGUGGAGUCACUAUCCCUGGUGGUGUUCAAGAGGUGUCUGGAUGAGGAGCUAAGAGAUACGGUUUAGUGGCUUGUGGUAGCAAGGGUAAUGGGAGGACAGUUGAACUAGAUGAUCUUGUAGGUCCUUUCCAACCUUGAGAUUCUAUGACUGUAUUCUUAGUGCAGGCUCAAGGACUUAGGAUUUUAUUGUUUUUGUGGUGGGAUAACAUUGGCAGGUCACUAGGUGCUCACCAAGCUGCUCUCUCACUUCUCUUCAGAAAGAGAAAAUACAAUGGAAAAGCUCAUCGGUUGAGAGAAAGAUAGGGAGACCACUCAGUGAUUACUGUCACAAGCAAAAUAGGCUACUUGGGAAAGAUUUAUUUUAUUUAUGGCCUAUUAGUAAUAGGGCAAUGAGAAAUAAAAACAGACUGACAACACCUCUCCUCCACCCACCUCUUCUCAGGCUCAACUCCUACCUCCUUCCCUCAACGAGCACAGGGGAAUAGGGAAAGGGGGCUGCGGUCAGUCCAUAAAGCUUCAUGUCUUCUGCUCUUCCAUGAUCACUCUCUGCUUCUGUUCUGUGUGGGUCCGUCCCAUGGGAUGGCAUCCUUCCUGGUCUGAUCCCACAUGGGCUUUCCACAUGCUGCAGCUCUCCCAGCACUGUUCCAACACAGCUCCGUACCAUGGAGCCCACCCUUCAGGCACUGCUCCACACGGUUCCCCACAGGCGGCAGCUCCCUCAGCCCUCCUGCCCCUCUGCAGGCUGCUCUCCAUGGGCUGCAGCUCAGGCCUGGGCUGCUCCUACAAGGGCUGUGAUCUGACACGGGGCAGCUGCUGGCUUCUUGCAGGCCACCCCACUGCCAAAAUCUUGCUACAUAAAUCCAGAGGAGGACUAUGAGUUCUUUGUCAGGCGAUGUACUGUCUGUAUUGUUGCCAUACGUUAAUGGAGCUGGAAUAAAAUUGGCACAAUAUCCAGUUGCACCCAAAUGAGGCUGUUGAGCAGGAUCCAGAAGAUAUCCACAGAGGUCAAGCACAGUGUUUAAACAGAAACAAAGCCUGUGAUUUAUUUCAUUAUUUACUAAGUGCCAUCAUGGUGCUUGGUACCAUAUAAACACUGUCUGCCCCAGGUUAUUAAUACUACUAGACAAAGCAGGUUCAAAUACCUUACAUGAACCAUUUUCAGAACAAAACUUUUAAAAGCAAGUUAAAAGUUUCCGCAUGGCAGAAAUGUAUUUGUAGAGGAACAGUGCUAAUUAAACAUCAGACAUCAAAAUAGGUAAGUAUUCCAGUGCAAAGAAAUUCCCAUUCGAGGAGCUAACUUUCUACCUGUCCUCUAUAAUUACGCCUCUCUGAGUUCUGCUGUAAUGCAUGGUCUGCCCUAGGGACGCCAGACUGGUCUUUUUGUUGCACGAUAAGGAGCAUCCAUUCAUCCACAAAAUGUGAAGAACUAGUGAGAGAUUAGAUAUCUAAAGAUAUCAGGUUGAAAUAACCCUAAGGGUGUAUAAUUGCUCAAUGAAGACAUAAGGAAGUGUAAAAAAUGUCUCUGCAUGCUUAGGUCAGUGAGGAUUAUACCUUAGAUAAGGCUGCUUAAAAGAUAGAGCUCUCACAAGAAUUACAGAUUAUUCUAGUCCCAUGAAAAUCAUCCUGUUUUUAAUUAUAGCAUUAAAGAGAAAACCAUAAACGUUUUAAGUUCUGCUGGGACAGCAAGUGUUCAUUAUAAAUCUGGACAAGGGAUCACACAGAAAUUGUAAACAAUGACUGUGAGACAUGUCAGUACUAUCUAUUUUUGUCUAUAUAAAUGCUUUUCACUUCAAAAAACUCAUUAACACUUGUGCUUGGCCAAAACUUGGUCAUAGGACCUUUCAACAUAAACUGUUCUUAAAAGGAUACUGUCAACUCACAACUGGUCUGUUUUUCAGAAGAUUUUUUCAAGAUGUUUUAGUAUAUGAGUCCCUGGGGCAAUGCCAGUUCUUCUGUCACAAUUCUUCACUUAUUUUUCAGUUCUUUACCUUGUCCUGCCGCAGCAUCAGUUUCUACACAAGCUCAGGGAAUCAGGAAACAAGGAGGAUAAGGGGAAGUUGACAGCCUGAAAAGCACUAUCAAAAGAUGAGAAUAAGCCAGUGGAGCUACACACAUAACUAAAAAGGCCUAGCCUGCUGAUAGGAUUGGUGUAGUUGGGCCCUUCUUUCUGCAGGAACCCCAAAUGACACCAACGCGCAUCCUUCAGCACACUUUCAGACACCUCAAAGCUGUGGCAUAAGACAGUAGAACUGGAUGGAAAGGCCUCUAAACUGAAGGCUCCUAGAGUUUAGGCCUCGCUGCUUCCACCAGGUUUAUCUCAACACCAGACACGUGACCAGCAUCACAUCAGAAAAAAAAAAAAGCUCAGAGUUUCUAAUUCUGGCUGUGCUGUCAGUUUGCCAGGAGUUUUACAAGUUUCACUGUGUGUUUAUCCAACUGUUUCUGAUGACUUUCUUGGAAAGUUCUUUGCAAGGAUGGAAAAUCCCUAACUCUUCCUGAUAGUUGCAACAGAGUCUAGAUGCCUGGAAAUUUGUGUCUGACAAGUCAAUACUUGUACAGCUAGACCUCUGAAAAUAAGGAACACGAGCUAUUAUCAUGUUCUGAUAAGUGGGAAUUCACUCCAUGAAAAUACCAGCCAGGAAUCAUUCUCUAUGCAAAUGCAGAGAGGUGGGUGAAGAGGUAGAACUGCUGACAGAGGGGCGGAUACAUCUGCUGUGAAACCCUUUCCCUCAUCUCAGCUCCUUUUUAGCAACCAACUUUAGCUGUCUAACUUUAGAUGACAAGUAGGCAGAAGCACCCUUUGGAGGUGCUGGUGUCUCCUGUUGACUCAGCAGGAUGACUAACCUCCAUGCUGGUGCCUACAGGCAGGCUGCACGUCUUUCCCCUCCCACUGUGCCAGACCCUCACUGGGCAGUUCUCAGCACACAGCAUGAAUCUCACAUGCUGCACAUGUAUCACCCCUAAUGUCUGAUGUGAUCUUAAAACACAAUUACAAAAUUGUUAUUAUGGAAAAGGGUGCGCUUCUUAAAAUGGCAGCCAAAGUAAAAGCUUGGGACACAGCUCUUUUCCUCCACUUUCUUUUUUCUGAUUUGUCUUCCCAGCUGUUCUAAUUGUUGCCUACUAUUUGGUAGUGCAGUAAAGGCUGCUGUUGCUGGAGUGUUUGAAAAAUAAGAUGACCUUCUGCUGUACUUUAUACAGUACGUGGGUCCAUUCAUGUAGAUUGGAACUUUGUGUCUCACAAUGGCAAUGAGCUAUUCCUGAAAUACUUUACUGUUCCACAGGUGUGAAAAAGAAGCCAAAUCAAACCUAAAGGAAAUUUUUUUAAUGGAAAACAUAUUCCAGCUUUAACGACACACUACUAUUUUGUUUUGGUUUCUUUAUUGCAAUGAUUUAUGAUAUGCAAACUUCACAUGUGCUUACUGAAGUCAUGUGUCUGCCUUAUUUUAGCUUUGAAAAUAACAGCGAUGCCAAUAUUCUUUACUGUCAUACUGGGCAACUUGAGAAGUUCCUUAUGGUACCCAAAAAAGCAAAUAGUUGCUUUUCUACCCUUUGGCUGAGGAAUAAAGUAGUAGGUUCUCCAGAAGGGCCCUCUACACAUCAAGACUUUCUAUAAACACCUCGACACUGCUAAUGCUGGCACACUGCCACUGUUGUCAGUAAAGGUGGGUUUCCCGUUUGGGAUCAUCUGACAAAAGGUUGUCUCAUUCUGUAUCUGCCUGGCCUGCCUUAUGCCCAACUGAGCUACAGACAGGUAAAAACACCAGAGUUCUGUUAGUAUUGAUAGCUCCAAUGCUAUGUACAUUAUUAGAGCUGUACUGAUGAUUAAAUCUUUCAAAAUAAAAGCAAACAGAAUCCAAAAACAUCUGCCCACCCCUCUCCUUACCUUUCAGCUAGGCCCUACAGAGGACUUAAACUAAGCAGAAAGUCUUCCACUGCUGUCAUUUAAGUCAGUUUCGUUCAACGUACCUCUGCAGUUCUGUAAACAGCCACAGAGAGAGAGGGGUGGAAAGGCAGGCAGUAGACUUCCCUGUUUCAGUAAGUGCAGCGCUCAUUCUUGCAGGUAUAAAAGGGCAGCAUGCAGUCAUCUAUAUAAAGAAUGUUCUUCAGAUGGGUUAUGUAUAACUCCAUGAUGGCAAGGGUAUCAAAUGAAGGUCGAACAUCAGAGACCUUUAGGCACUUACGAAAUAUGACUCAUGGAUUAGUUAACUGCCUGUCAGAUUUUCCAUUAUAAAACUUUAACCACGUUCCAUAUCUGCACAGAAGCAACCAACACCUGUAAAAGUACAAACAAACAAGUGGUUAUACAUGCAUUUGCACAGCAGUGGGUCAGGAGAUGUACUUUGGUAUCACAAGAAGUUUUUUUUUUUCUUAAUUAUAGACUAUUUACUAAGGAAUAAAAAUGAGAGGAAGAAAAUGAAGACAAUUCAAUGGUAGUAAAAAUAAUAUUUUGAAGUGCCAAAGACUGCAAGAUAAAUCUUUAGAGUUCAACUGUAUCAGAUGAAUACAACCCCAAAAUUCCUCUCUGCAGAAUGUCAUUAUUUUAGCCAUGGUGAAUAUCAGUGUUUCCCAAUCUGAGUGUUUGCUUUUUCAAUUCCUCAUGCUGACAUCAACAAAAGUGAAAAAGCAACUACUCCUGUUUUGAAAAAUGUUUACUAUUAAGCUUUGUAAGUAUUAAAAUACUCAAUUAAAAAUGAAGACAUUACUUUUCAUUUUGAAAAUCAGUGAUAAGUCUCAGGCAUCAGACCUUGAUACGUCUCUUAGAAGCCAUUACAUCUUCAUGUUUCGAGGUGUCUGUAAAUUCAAACAGGCAAAAGGUGUGCUCUGAGGAUUCCUAACAGGAAGUGGUGCUUUUGACCUAUGCGUCAUCAAUUUAAUGAACUCAGCAUGUGACUUUCAGCUCACCUAAUUUUAGAUGUCUAUCUCGACAUCUGCUGCCCCACUGACACUUGACUAAGGCAUGUCUUAUCUGAUCUGGUUUAGAUAUCUACCUUAGGAUGAGAUGAUUCAUCACCUCAGAGUGUGAUUUUUCUUUCCAGUGGCUGUAACCUUGUCCAUCUAGCUAGGCUGGAGCCUUGCCUGAAUGAACGUUCUGCCUCCACAGAGUUGGUAAUUUGUGUGAAAUGAGUUGGUGACCACUGUUGCUACUGGGAUGUUUUGUCUGUAUCACAAAAACACUACCACAUCUGGCACAAACAAAUCAUAAUAGUCUGAAACAGCCUAGAGGCUAACGACUUUAGAGGAAAUCCCAAACACUUAGGUAGAUUUCAACACCACAUAAUAUUUGUGCCUCUAGAGCUGUUCCAGAUCAGAAAUUAGGUAUGGAGUUCUCGCUACACCUACCACUGUGGCAUCUAAUCCGUGAAGACAAAAGUCUCAGUAUCCUCGCCUGUUAGUCAGGUCAUUUCAUAAACACUAUUUCCAGGCAAGUGUAAAGCUACUGCUCUGCUGGAAAUUCAGAAGAUGUGGACUCUAAGGACCUAUGAAGAAUAAUUUAGUCUUGGAAAGUCUGAGAAGAGGCAAGAUGCCAUUACACAAAUAUAUAAAACAAAGCUGCAAAGAGGAAGGAAAUAAGUAACUCUUCCUGUUUACUACGAGUAAAAAGCAGUGAGCUUAAAGUACAAGGAAAAUUAAGCGUAAAGAGAAGUGCCACACAACAACAACAGAAGCCAUGCAGCCACUCCUUUGAGCUGAACAGAAGCACCGUGCCAUCUCUCUUAGACAAAGGGCUGCGUGGCCAGGAAGUCGAUCUAAGAAGAGAGGCAGCAGCUCCUCCUUCCCUGCCUCUUAGGAGAGAGCAGUUUCUGCUGGGGUUGGGAGGUUGGGAGCCCUCCCCCAGCUCAGGAAUGCAGUUGUUCUGGAGAUCCAGUUUGAGAGCAUCCAUGCGGACUAAAGGGACAUUCCUAGUCUUAAGGCAGCGAGAUGGACUAGGUGUCUCACCUCCCCUCUAACUUACAUGAUGUGUUAGCUGCAAAGGGUGCAGUGCACAAACUGAAGCCUAAGCGUUAUAACGUCUUGUAAAGGAGUGGAGCAGAACACCAGCUACAUCAGCUGCACAGCUGGCCAAAGUGAGCAAAAGGGAGGAAGGGUGGUCUUUGAAAAACUCAUCUGGGGAAAAAAAAAAGAAAAAAGAAAAAAAGAGAAAAAAAAAAGGCAUUUUUUUCCUAACAUAACAAGAAUUACGACUUUUUCCUCUGCUGCCAUCACGAGAGAUGACUGAAAUAAAGAUGAUGCAGCUGAGUGCUCCUGUUUAAUGCUCCUUCCGUAGGAAAUACUGUUGCAACACAUGCAGAAAAUAUCAGGGAUGCAAGGAAACUUAAAGAGGCAAAAGUGAGUUGAUUUAAAAUAAGAACUGAAACAAAACAGGCAGUCUCAUGCUAAGUGUGCGGUGCCCAAGAAGCCCAGCCAUAAGCCGGUGUACUCAAGCCAGCUCUGUUGUGUCCAGCUCCGUUGUGAAGGAGGAGAAAGGACGCCAUCUAUCCAAGCUCUCAUGUCUCCUGGGUGAAUUCCUGAGUUGGUUGCCGUGAACAGGUUUGGACAUCAAAACACAAUGUCUUUUCAGAGCUGACAGUAUCUCCAUGCAGCCACAGCUCUGGGAGCCAUCGGGACUAAUCACUCUUCUUUGUCUCCAGAUGUGUCUUUGUGAAGCAGCGGGCAGAUGCCCCGGGGUCUCGAUGACCGAUCUAGGAAGGGAACGUUCGCCCUUUUUCUUGAAGACCAGCACUGUGUUUGGCUCAUGGGCCCUCGGGGCAUUUUGAAAUGGUAAUUGGAAGAGAAAGAAGUUUACAGAAACCAUAUGAAGAAACACUAGUGCCUUCUUCAAAGUAUCAUAUUAAUGCUGCUUAAUGUAGGAGCCGUCUUGACUGGGUGCCUAUUUGGAUUUAGAUAAUUGCUAGCUUACCAGUUCAAACCAGUUCAAAAUGAGAAUGCGCAGCAUCCAAGAUUUACUCAUGUGCCUCUCGAUGGGUUUUUGUUGUUUUUUUUUCCUUCUUCUUCUUCUUCUUCUUCUUUUUUUUUCCUGCUGCUAAAGUCUGUCUGGUUUCAUCUUCCUUCAUCUUCUGUUACUUUGACCCUGCCUACAGGAGAAAGAUACACUUGAAAAACUGCAAGCUGCUCAUAAGCCAGUACAGUCUGGGCAUUCACAGAGAGAUCAAAGAGGGGAUAUAUAUGUGGAUAAUAAGUGGAUAUGUAUGACUUUUUUUCAUAUUGGGCAAGGCUAUAAUCUUAUUUAUCGAUUUUGUAGAAGGCUGUCUUUUUAAGUAUUUAACCUCUGUUCCGCGGAUUGUGUCUUCUGCUGAGGUGAAGACCCCGUCCCGCCAUUUCUUCCCAUUUGGAGGGCACAACCCGCAGAAGAAAGUGCUGGACUCUCUUCCUUCUGGUGUAGGGAAACGCACUGCUUUGCAAGUUCUUCCUGAUCGACCUGAUCUAACUUGAAAUAAGCCAUUUAUAUUCCUGCAAAGGAAUACCAGGUUAUCCACAUGGCCUUUUGCCCAGGCUUAACAUAAUUCCUUUAAGACAAACUGCAAAUGAAUAGUUGUGCAGUUUUCCUGUGCAGGCAAGCCCUUAAUCUAAUUGGAGCAUGGAAAACAGCAUCUGAGAAGGCAAAACAGUGUGUAGACUUGGGGAAUGAGAGUGGGAGGUAAUGUAACGUGGUGUCUAUUGGGGCUGAUGGAGAGAUCUGAAAAGAUAAGCUAAAAGUGAUUAAGGUUUUUAAAAUCCAAACUAGCAAGGAUUACAGGGAUAUGAAAAACAGAACCUGAGCCUGAACUUUUCCAUGUUCCGAGAACUGCCAUCUUCCUUCCUCUUGUUUUGAAACGGACGGGGUUCUGCCAACGCUAAACCUGCAGCAUACGGGCAGUGCUGCCUCUCAGUAUUAGCUAUUUCAAAAUAUAGCUCUCCCUUAAUAAGGAGCGCUAGCAACAUUGGGCAUUCCUCAGAUAGCUGAGGCCAUGGCUGCUUAACGUGAACACUUUUGGCAGCUGCAUUAUGUUGCACAAGCACCACCUUCAAAGGUCAAAUCUUGUCAGGUGUUCACACCUGUCUGCAGCAGAGGGGAGAACACUGGCAAGACACCUUAAAAUGCUAGGAAAGAUCUGACCCAUCCCAUACACGCAAUGUGACCAGGGCAAAUCCUCCACAGCCACAAGAGGCACGUGGCAGACUGAGAGACUCACUGGUGCAGUGGGGACAUUUAACUGAAGCAUGGGCCUGAGGCUGAAAGUGAGAGACUGGAUGUUUCACCAGGCUCUGGUCUGGGUACUAGCCAGCAGCAGCAGCAAUUGCUGCGAGGCUGGGCUGAGCACAGCUUUUUUGAGGCCAGCCAACAGACGUGUCAGGAGCCUACAGAGCUAAAACUAACUAGUACUUUUGUUCUUUCCACUGUUCGCCCAUACUUUCGCUCCCCUUUUCUGCCCUUUCAGUGGCAGCCUUGUGCAGCACUCAGGUCACCAGUCCCCGGGCCCUGACUCCAGCUCAAGAAGUAUCUGCUGUGGGCCUGAGCUGCAAGCAGCUCUUAUAGCGAUGCCCUAGGGAAGCACUCAGCAUGGGGAUGGAGAUAAAAGCUGUGUGAAGUUCAUGGGAUCAUUCCUCUCCAUGUCUGAUCUGAGCGUAACAGAGGAAAUAAGGACAAAACUACACUUGUACUUCUUCCGUUCCCACAGACACCAGUGACUACUUACUUGAUUGUGUCUCUAAACUAUUGCAGAAAAGAAAAAAGAAGACUCCACCAAAGAAAAACAGAAAAGCAUCGCAAGCUGCUUCAGACAAGGACUAGCAUAUGCUUCAGCUGGUGAAGUCCUCUCCUUAUAUCCCUAUUUCUAUGGUCAUAGGUUGUAAAACUUAACUGAUCCCGUGUAUUCUUUCUGUAAAGAGUCUCUGCUUUCUGUAAACAGUCUUCUGUGGCUUUUCAGGGCAAGAUGUGAACCCCUUUGAAGUUUUCAAACAUGCUUCAGGCACCUUUGCAGGGAUCACUCCGAAUGUGCUCUUCAUCAAGGCUUCCCCAAGUCAUUAUGUACGUACUAUUGGCCUCAACAUUCUUUCAGCCUCUGCCUGUCUGGGAGAGGAGGAAGAUGAGGGGAGACUGCAAGGCUUAGAUGGCAAUACACUAACCAAAGAACAGAGAAGCUCUUCAUCAGAUUACCUUUUAAUUCUUUAUGGAAGUUAAACACAUAAUAUUCUUCCUAAGAAUAAGGGUAGAGGUGUACUCAGCAUAGGCAGCGACAGAACGAAGUGCUGCAGCAUGAUGUGGAAGAUUUGGUAAAUAUGCUGUCCAAUGCUGUCCAGUUUAGUAAUCAUAUUUUUUUUAUUAUUGGCAACUUCCUUUAUUUGUUGAAGUAAGAUUUUGUAUCAAAACAGAGAGGAAAGACGGACAGUGCUAAAACCCUGAUGCAGUUCUACAGGCAACAGAAGAUUACACAGAUUUUCUUGAAGUUUCCCGACUUCUCCUCUAGGUUUGUGUUACGUGUACUUCAGGGCAGAUCUACCCUGAGAAAAUGUGGGUAAGCAUCCUUCACUCUCCUGUCUGCCCCUGCCCACCCAGGGAACAGUGCUGUGGCUCUGCACAGGCUCCUUUAGCAGCAGUGCCAACUGCAGCAUCUCCAGGUCCCUGUCUAACUUGCUUGGGGCUAGUUGCCCCUGCUCACGUUUGACUGGCAUGGGCAUUUGUGUAGCCACUCCAAACAGGUGGUUUAUUUCGGAGACUAAACUCAGCUGGAGGUGCGGAAUGAGGUAGGGACUACCUAAACUGAUAAUGUCAGUGAGAGAAAUGCUUGGAUUAAGUGUACCAGCAUUGCCCUGUGCACUAGGUUAAGGCAUGUAAGGCAGGAAAUACACUCCAAACUGAGGAAAGUCACCGACUAUGAAACAAUAUCCCACGGGCAUUUCUUUGGGCAGCAGAGUUGCCUUUUUUUUUUUUCCUGCUGCUAUGAACAAAGUUAUUUUAAGCUCAGAUCAGCUCCUUCAUUCACCGCACUGGCUGGCAUCACUAGCAGCUACACUGGGACAGUCACAGGAAUACCUUGAGGGCAGGAACAAAUGGCAAGGCAAGUGCUGGGAACUGCCUUAACCAGUACGGCUCUGUGUGAAAUAUCAGAAAAACAAGCCUCCGAAAUGUGAGGAAACAGGGAAGGCCCCUAAUCCUGUACAUCUGGGCUUGUUUUGAACUUAGAGAAGUGGUACCACCUUAAAAAAAUGCUUUGAAAUUUCAUUCUGCCUGAGAAUUGCUUCUGCAUGCAUUAUUUAAAACUUCUCCAUCGGUACAAGGAGUUUUCUGGCCGCUGCUGUAGGUAAAUGGAGAGUUUGUAGUGAAGUCUUCAUUAAUACCAUACCAACAGCUGCGGGUGCUUCUUCUUUUCAUGGUAUUGCUCUAAAUCUGUAAGACUAACUUUUGUUGCCUAAUAAUGUCCCUAGAAAUUUGAGAAGUGAUCGGGAGCAUUAAAAAAUUAUGCUAUUAAAGACAGAUAUCUGAUAUUUCUGAGAGGGUUACGCCACCACUGAGUGAAGACUGUUUCUUAGUCACUUAGUUAAAAACGGUCCUGGUUUUGGCUGGAAUUGAGUUAAUUUUCUUCCUCACCGCUGGUAGGGUGCUGUGUUCUGAACUUGGGAUGAGAACAACACCAAUAGCACAGCGAUGUAUUGGUUGGUGCUGAGCGGUGCUUACACAGAGCCAGGGAUGUUUCAGCUUCUGACGCUGCCCUACCAGCAAGGAGCUGGGGUGUGGAAGGAGCCAGGAGGGAACGCAGCCAGGACAGCUGACCCAGACUGCCCAAAGGGAUGUCCUGUACCAGGUGGUGUCCUGCUGAACUAUACAACUGGGGGAGCUGGUGAGGGGGCUGACACUGUUCAGGGACUGGCUGGGUAACAGUGGGUGGUGAGCAACUGCAUUGUCUGUCAUUCAUUUUGUGUAUUUGUAUUAUUUUCCCUUCAUUUUCUGUCCUAUUAAAUUGUCUUUAUCUCAA
ensembl:lncRNA